AGAUUUAUUCUACCGCUACAAGAAUAUUCUCAAAACGAAAAAUUCUAUGGAACAAUUUCUAUAUCAAUAUUUCUAUUUGUGGAUCCAAGUCGCGGCCCUUUUAGAAAUAGUGAUGUAGAUUGAAUUUUAAUAUUUGUGUAUUAAUUCGAAAUUUAUUUUCCAAGUGAAUUUCGAAUUAUCGAAGGAGACAUUUUUCCUUUAAUAAAUGAAUUCUUGAUAAA